rnacentral:lncRNA from 7 species
CCCAUAGCACUCCAUAUCACCCCAUAGGACUCCAUAUUGUCCCAUAGCGCUCCAUAUUACCUCAUAGCACUCCAUAUUACCCCAUAGCACUCCAUGUGGCCCCAUAGCACUCCAUAUUCCCCAUUAGCGGCUCCCUAUAUGGCUUCCAUACAGCGGUCCAAUAUAACCCAGUAGCGCUCUCCAUAUCAUACCCUCACAUGGCACUCCAUAGGUGACCCCAUACACUCCUCCCAUAGCACUCAUUGUUGCCCCACAGCACUCCAUGUGCCCCCAUAGCGCUCCAUAUAACCCAUAGAGCUCCAACGUUGCUCCCCACACGCACUCCAUGUGGCCCCAUAGCGCUCCAUAUUACCCCAUAGCGCUCCAUAUUACCCCAUAGCACUCCAUGUGACCCCAUAGCACUCCAUAUUACCCCAUAGCGCUCCAUAUUACCCCAUAGCGCUCCAUAUUACCCCAUAGCGCUCCAUGUGACCCCAUAGCACUCCAUAUAACCCCAUAGCGCUCCAUAUUACUCCAUAGCACUCCAUAUUACCCCUUAGCACUCCAUGUGGCCCCCAUAGCACUCCAUAUUACCCCAUAGCGCUCCAUAUGGCUCCAUAGCGGUCCAUAUAACCCCAUAGCGCUCCAUAUUGCCCCAUAGGACUCCAUGUGACCCCAUAGCACUCCAUAUCACCCCAUGGCACUCAUUGUUGCCCCACAGCACUCCAUGUGCCCCCAUAGCGCUCCCUAUAACCCCAUAGAGCUCCACGUUGCCCCACAGCACUCCAUGUGGCCCCAUAGCACUCCAAUAUACCCAUAGCACUCCAUGUGGCCCAUAAGCCACUCUGUGUGGCCCCAUAGCACUCCAUAUUACCCCAUAGCGCUCCAUAUUACCCCAUAGUACUCCAUAUCACCCCAUAGCGCUCCAUAUUACCCCAUAGCGCUCCAUAUAGCCCCAUAGCGCUCCAUAUUACCCAUAGCCACCCCAUAUACCCCAUACAAACUCCAUAUUACCCCAUAGCACUCCAUGUUACCCCAUAGCACUCCGUGUUACCCCAUAGCACUCCGUGUUACCCCAUAGUGCUCCAUAUAGCCCCAUAGCGCUCCAUAUAACCCCAUAGCACUCCAUAUUACCCCAUAGCGCUUCCAUAUUACCCAUAGCACCUCCAUGUGACCCAUAGCAACGUCCAUAUAUUACCCAUAGCAUUCCAUUAUCACCCCAUAGCAUAUCCAUAUUACCCCAUAGCAUUCCAUAUAACCCCAUAGCAUUCCAUAUUACCCCAUAGCAUUCCAUAUAACCCCAUAGCACUCCAUACUACCCCAUAGCGCUCCAUGUUACCCCAUAGCACUCCAUAUUACACCAUAGCGCUCCAAUUACCCCAUACAGAGCCUUCGUGUUGGCACCAUAGCAACUCCAUAUUA